AUUAAACGCUGGCGGCAUGCCUUACACAUGCAAGUCGAACGGCAGCACGGGGUUUACCCUGGUGGCGAGUGGCGAACGGGUGAGUAAAGCAUCGGAACGUGCCCUGGAGUGGGGGAUAACGUAGCGAAAGUUACGCUAAUACCGCAUAUUCUGUGAGCAGGAAAGCAGGGGAUCGCAAGACCUUGCGCUCUGGGAGCGGCCGAUGUCGGAUUAGCUAGUUGGUGGGGUAAAGGCCUACCAAGGCGACGAUCCGUAGCGGGUCUGAGAGGAUGAUCCGCCACACUGGGACUGAGACACGGCCCAGACUCCUACGGGAGGCAGCAGUGGGGAAUUUUGGACAAUGGGCGCAAGCCUGAUCCAGCCAUGCCGCGUGAGUGAAGAAGGCCU
rnacentral:rRNA from 1 species